UUCUGGGAGUCUCCCACCUACCAUUUAGAUCAUCCAGUCCCCCAGACAAGUUUCGAACUAUUGUCCAGAUACAAGGGACCAUAGGCUCCUAGGGACAGUGCUUUAAAAGUGCUAUUAUGAUGAAAUGUGCAGAUGUCCUCCAUAAUAUUUUGUUACCAUGGCAACAUACUGGGUUUCAACCUUCUCUGAUAUAGGCUUUUCUGGCCAUCUUUGGCUUUCCAUUUUGAUAUUUGUCAAUGGUGCCUCAUCUGCAUGAUUCAGCAAGCAUAUUAAUAUUAUAAGGUCGAAGUUGUGGCUUCAGGUUAGAGGGGACUAGAAAAGAGUGAGUUGGCAUGGGAAAAUACAGGCUGUGUAUAAUUUUAAUAGCCAUAGAUGUGUUUCCAGUAGAACUAUAAGCCUACCAACUUGAUGUAAUAUUGGGUUGAGGAUAUGACAUCAUCAGUCACCUCAUUUGCGUAUUUUACACAUGAUGCAGAUAUUUGCAAAAGUUUAACAGCAUUUUUAAUCUUUUGUGAAAUUCUAUGUGAUACACCUACAAAUUCUGACUCAAGGGGUAAAAGUUUAAUGAGAGAAGCAUGUUAAAGCAUUGAGUUGAAUUUAUGCUGUUGGCAAAAUUUCACUGUAAGACGAAGAGAAUUUUGGAGGGGAAUUUGGUGUGGUUAUUGAAUUUACAGAGGUUGGUUUUGUUAUUGACUUUGUCAUUAUCUUCUAUAUUUUUGAGGCAGAGUGGUUGUUGGCAAAAGCAAAACUGGCAAUGUCUUCACUGACCUGUGUUUAGAUGUUUUUAGGUUUUUGUCUCUGACAAUGAAGUUCAAUUUACCGGUGGUUACCUCCUGGCAUAUACACCCCACACUGGCAUACAAUCCCUUGAUUUAGAUGAUGCUGAACCUGUUUUUCCCCAUCUUUAACAUACAUGUAAGAGUGUCAGUGGACCUGUCCAAGUGUGAAUUAUUUUUACUGAUAAUGCAAAUCAUAAUAAAGAUACAAAACCUCUCUGGUGUGAUUUCUUCCUUGACAGUGAAGUGCAACCUAACCAAAAGUUGCAUUCUGUAAGAGCUUUACAAAAAUUAUAAAAUAUAGGAGUUCCUCUGAAAGAAGAGUUUGUUGUUUUUUUCUGUUCAUUUUUUCCGUUGAACAUUUAUAUUUUCCUAAUAAGCAGUUUCUUCACAACACACUUCAAGAUGAUAAAGAGCCAUAAAAAUGACAUUUUUAUUGCGGAGAUCAUUUUCAAGAUUAAAGAAAAGUUAUUUUUAUUUA